rnacentral:rRNA from 1 species
CCUACGGGCGGCAGCAGUAGGGAAUUUUCGGCAAUGGGGGGAACCCUGACCGAGCAACGCCGCGUGAACGAAGAAGUUAUUCGUAAUGUAAAGUUCUUUUAACAGGGAAGAAAGAGAAAUUUGACGGUACCUGAAGAAUAAGCUCCGGCUAACUACGUGCCAGCAGCCGCGGUAAUACGUAGGGAGCGAGCGUUAUCCGGAUUGAUUGGGCGAAAAGGGUGCGUAGAUGGCAUAGUAAGUCUUUUGUAAAAAUGCUGGGCUCAACCCAGUAGGGCAAAAGAUACUGCAAAGCUAGAGUAUGACAGAGGCAAGUGGAACUACAUGUGUAGCGGUAAAAUGCGUAAAUAUAUGUAAGAACACCAGUGGCGAAGGCGGCUUGCUGGGUCGAUACUGACAUUGAGGCACGAAAGCGUGGGGAGCAAACAGGAUUAGAUACCCUAGUAGUC